AUGGUGCCUUGGCUCCUGGCCUGGUCUUUCACGGUGGUGCCGGCAGGAGUGGGAGCCCAGGUGCAGCUGGUGGAGGCCAGUGGAGGGCUGCGAGCAUCUGGGAAUGCUGUAAACCUCUCCUGCCAUGAAUCUGGCUAUAGCUUUGAGACAUUUGCUGUGCGCUGGUACGGACAGUCCCCGGACGACAGACCUGAGUGGGUCUCCUACAUCAGCUCUGAUUCCUCAUCCAUUCAGUACAUGCUGGCAGUGGAGGGUCGAGCCACUGCCUCUCAGGAUAAUCCUCAGGCCGAGGCAUUUCUAGACCUGUGUGCGCUGUGCCUUCGGGACUCCACCUGA